AUGUUGCUGGAAGGAGCAGAGGACAUGUGAGGUCUCUGCUGCUUUCUGCUGGCAUCA
ensembl:miRNA gga-mir-12239 gga-mir-12239